rnacentral:rRNA from 1 species
GUGAGAUGUUGGGUUAAGUCCCGCAACGAGCGCAACCCUCACCCUUAGUUGCCAUCAUUUAGUUGGGCACUCUAGGGGAACUGCCGGUGACAAGCCGGAGGAAGGCGGGGAUGACGUCAAGUCAGCAUGCCCCUUACACUCUGGGCUACACACGUGCUACAUUGGGCGAGACAAUGAGAUGCAAACCUGCGAGGGUAAGCUAAUCUAUAAACUCGUUCUAAGUUCGGAUUGUAGGCUGCAACUCGCCUACAUGAAGUCGGAAUCGCUAGUAAUCGCGGAUCAGCAUGCCGCGGUGAAUACGUUCCCGGGUCUUGUACACACCGCCCGUCACACCAUGGGAGCGGGUU